GAUGAAGAACGUAGCGAAAUGCGAUAAGUAAUGUGAAUUGCAGAAUUCAGUGAAUCAUCGAAUCUUUGAACGCACAUUGCGCCCGCCAGUAUUCUGGCGGGCAUGCCUGUUCGAGCGUCAUUACAACCCUCAGGCCCCCGGGCCUGGCGUUGGGGAUCGGCGGAGCCCCCCGUGGGCACACGCCGUCCCCCAAAUGCAGUGGCGGUCCCGCCGCAGCUUCCAUCGCGUAGUAGCUAACACCUCGCGACUGGAGAGCGGCGCGGCCACGCCGUAAAACACCCAACUCUUCUGAAGUUGACCUCGAAUCAGGUAGGAAUACCCGCUGAACUUAAGCAUAUCAAUAAGGAGGA
rnacentral:misc_RNA from 1 species